CAGUCGCCGCGGUAAUACAGAUGGUGCGAGCGUUAAUCGGAUUUACUGGGCGUAAAGCGUGCGUAGGCGGCUUCUUAAGUCGGAUGUGAAAUCCCUGAGCUUAACUUAGGAAUUGCAUUCGAUACUGGGAAGCUAGAGUAUGGGAGAGGAUGGUAGAAUUCCAGGUGUAGCGGUGAAAUGCGUAGAGAUCUGGAGGAAUACCGAUGGCGAAGGCAGCCAUCUGGCCUAAUACUGACGCUGAGGUACGAAAGCAUGGGGAGCAAACAGGAUUAGAUACCCCUGUAGUCCCUGUCUCUUAUAC
rnacentral:rRNA from 1 species